GAGGAGGAGGAGGAGGAGGAGGAGGAAGGUGAUCUGGCAGAGAUGAAUCAUCCCCGAGCCUCCUGGGGAUGGCAGAGCCCGGGGGUGGCUGGCAGUGGGGGGCGGACGGGGGGAGCCAGGCAUGGGGAUGGGACCCGCCUGGGGGGCAGCACCGUGGCCCCCCAUGUGUACCCGAGGGGCUCCUGCCGCCCCAUCCCCUCCCAGCGCUGUGCUGGGGGCUUGCUGGGGACCUGUGGGGCAGCCGCCGUGGUGCCCGGGGGCUGAGCCCCACUGGGGGGCUCACAUGGCAAAGGGGGGGGCCAGGCACACCAGACCCCCUCUGUCCCCCCGGCCCCAUCUCCCAGCCCCUGGCCUGCAUCAAAGCCCCCUUUGUGCCACCGCUGCCACCCCCCAGCCACCGUCACCGUCCGGCCUGCGCAGCCCAAAAUAGCAGCGCGCUCACCUGCGGGGGGGGGCCUGCGCCUGCCCUCGCCCCCCGCUGCUCCAUAUUAAUAAGCCCCUUCCUCCUCCUUCGCCUCCUCCUCUUCCUCCUCCUCCUCCUCCCCGUCCCACCGAGCAGUCCAGCAGCCGCACCGCAGCGCGCCGAAGCCCCCGCCGAAGCCCCCGCCGCUCGGUGCCGGCCGCCCCCGCCAUGGCCGGCCGCAGCCUCGGGCUCUGCCUGCUCCUCCACGCCUGCCUCUGCCUGGCCCAGCUCCGAGGGCCACCAGGAGAGCCCGGCCCGCGAGGGCCCCCCGGUCCACCAGGAGUGCCGGGAGCGGAUGGCAUUGACGGUGACAAAGGCUCGCCCGGAGCCCCCGGCUCUCCGGGUGCCAAGGGGGAGCCCGGAGCCCCCGGUCCAGACGGGCCCCCAGGGAAGCCGGGCAUCGACGUGA
rnacentral:lncRNA from 1 species